UGCUGCAUCUGGUGGUGUAACGGCCACAAC
rnacentral:piRNA from 1 species